rnacentral:rRNA from 1 species
AUACGGAGGACGCGAGCGUUAUCCGGAUUCAUUGGGUUUAAAGGGUGCGCAGGCGGCCGUGCAAGUCAGCGGUGAAAGCCCGGGGCUCAACCCCGGAAGUGCCGUUGAUACUGCGUGGCUGGAAUGCGGUCGAGGCGGGCGGAAAGGGGCGGGUAGCGGGGAAAUGCGUGGAUAUGCCACAGAACGCCGAUAGCGGAGGCAGCUCGCGAGGCCUGCAUUGACGCUCGGGCACGAAAGCGUGGGGAUCGAACAGGAUUAGAUACCCUGGUAGUCCACGCCGUAAACGAUGGGCGCUCGUCGUCGGCGACAGACAGUCGGCGGCCAAGCGAAAGCGAUAAGCGCCCCACCUGGGGAGUACGGUCGCAAGGCUGAAACUCAAAGGAAUUGGCGGGG